rnacentral:rRNA from 1 species
GUGCCAGCCGCCGCGGUAAUACGUAGGGGGCGAGCGUUAUCCGGAGUUACUGGGCGUAAAGCGCACGCAGGCGGUCGGGCAAGUGCGGGGUUACAGCUCCCGGCUCAACUGGGAGAGCGCCUCGAAGACUGCUCGACUUGAGGGCCAAAGAGGGACACGGAACUCCGGGUGUAGUGGUGAAAUGCGUAGAUAUCCGGAAGAACACCAAAGGCGAAGGCAGUGUCCUGGGUGGUACCUGACGCUCAGGUGCGAAAGCUAGGGGAGCGAACGGGAUUAGAUACCCUAGUAGUCC